rnacentral:lncRNA from 1 species
ACUGGAAGCACCCUCAAAGGGAAGCAGACGCCUGACUUUCACAUCCACCCUCUCAUCUGACUCCAGGCUCCUUGAGCUGGCGGCAGGCCCGCAAUCCCCCGUUCCGUGCCCAGAUGCACUUCGGAAUACAGAACAGCUGGGACUUGGAAAGAUAAUAUGUGGCACCCACCUGCUGUAGGUUACAUAACCUCCCAGCAGGGCUUGGGGCAGCAGCCGGCCAUCGAGCUUAUUUGCAUUUCUGCAGCAAACAUGAAUAUUCACACAAGUGCGAUAAAUAAAGACCUUCAACAGCCUCAUAUCAGUUCAAGCGCAACUUUGCCAUCAAUUUGAUUACGAAAAAUCUUUCGGGCUUCCAGGGAGCUUUGGAGCCUGGGAAUUGCAGAUGAGGGAUGGGGGCCUGCACUGUUUCGCGGUUGGGGAGAGGGAGCUCAUCCGAAGUCUUCCGACAGAGGUGGGCGUCAUGCCCGACGCUGAGCGGAGUGGGUCUCCUCGAGCCCAGGCUCCCUGCGGGCGCGGUCCUCAGCGAGCCUCCCCGCCUCCGCGCCCGGGGUCGUACCUGCUUCACGAUCUCCUACCGCGGCGGGCCGCGCACCUCCUGGAUGGCCUCUUAGACGUUCUCUGGGUCGCUGCGCGACAGGGGCAGCAGGCACACCCAGGAGCCCGCUACGCUGCAGGCCUUGAAGCUGCCGCUGCUUCCGAGGUUGCCGGCGGGAGGCGAGACGACGGCGCGCGUCAGGUCGUCCAGGGACUGCGCGGGCAGCACGGGAGCCGUGGGCCGCAGCAACAAGGAAGAGGGCCGCGGAAGUCAAGACCACUGAGCCCGGAAUAGCCCCGCAUUCGAGGAGAGACUUGGGUUCGAGUCCCGAUGCUGCACUUGCCGUUCGCCUUCGGGCCUCAGUUUUCCCAUUUCUAAAAUGGGGACUUGAAUAAAAUCACAUGUAAGGCUUCCAUUCUUACACUCAGUGCUGGAAUUAGGACAACCCUUUCAUUCCGUGGGGUUGAUUCUAAGAUUUGAGCCUCGCUUCAGUCCUGCGGUGGGGAGAUUGUGGGUAGUCUCGGUCCAAAUAGACUGCGAGGGAAACCUUGGCUUUAAAACGAGGGGUGAUUACCUGCUCUAAGGUCGACACCACGCUUGCUUGAUGGUUGACCGUGCCUUAGUGUUCCCGUCAGUCAAGUGGGAAGAGCAGCCCAUUUCCUGCCGCUCCCCGGGCCCUGUCCCGCCUGGACGCCUCCCGCCCACAGAGAAUCCGCAGAGGGUGCCGUAGCACCGCCUCCCUCCAGGAGCCUGCGCCCCGGCCCCGGGGUCAGGGUUGGGAUGCGGGCUCUGCAGGCGCCCCGGCGAACAGCUCUACCUGGAGGCUGUCCCUGCCCCGCUUAGUCCAAGGGCCUUGGUGUGGGGGCCUCCGCUGUCAAGGCGGGGGAACCGGUUCUCUCGGUUUCUCUCUCCUUCCCCAGCGGCUUCAACGCAGACAUGAGCCCAAGCCGGGCCCGCCCCCGCCCCCUGCUCUCCGGUUCUCACGCCGCCCCCCGAGAGAGGCUGCCCACCUGCCCUGUGACCCCUACAGUGUCCCCACGAGAGUGGCCCCUGGAGAAUGCACUCUGAGACAGUGACUGUCCGUGCUGAGUCCCAGAGCAGGGGCCCCCAAAGCUCUCCGGAGUGGUCACAAGCCCCGCUCCCGCCCCGGCUCGGUGUGUCAGGGAUGGGGGAGAGCUUAACUAAAUCUGCCGGCGCCCCUCCACCAAAGCCAUGAGUCGGUGGUCUUCUCCGGAAAUGCAUGGCCCCUCCAAGCUCCCACACUGACCACAUCUCCUCCUGCCUCCUAAGGUGACCCAGGCCAAGGGCCAGGAGACCGCGGCUUGCCGAGGCUGAGGGACCGAAAGAGCAGGGUCCAACCGCGACUCCCGUAGGGCUCCUUCGCCACCUUGUCAAGCGUUCCUCGACUAGGAAAUGGUAUACACUUGAGUCACUAAGCACACUGGGCCCCGGAGGCGGGGUCAUCGAGCUGCCCAGAGCCAACAAACCCCAAGGUGGACACUGCCCCGGCGCCCCUUCCCCCUGGACCCCGCAGCGCACUCACGUCUGCUGGGCGGGCCUCAGGGAGCCCAAGGGCCGGGUGGGCGGGGCCGGCAGGUUAGGCCCCGACCAUCGCCCUGGGCUGGGCUUCCGAGGUGGUGCCGGAGAGGUUUCGCGGAAUCGGAGCUGGCAACGGCAGCGAAUAGGGACAGCGACGCUCAGGAGUUCUGUCACUCAUACCCAAAGAAGCUGCGUCUGGGCGGGGCGAGGAGGAACCUGAAUGCCUCUGCUGGGGACCUUGGGGGGCAUUGGGACGAGGACCGGAGCAGAAGGCCGGGGUCCAGAGCCAGGAAGGCUGCGUCUGAAGGGGCGCUGGCUAGUCGCUAGCGGAGCCCAAGGAGGGUGGGCCUCCCCUGCCCCGCCUUCCCCCUUCCCUUCUCCCCCGGGGAUUUGCUGUCCCGGAGUGCGGGCGUUCCCGUUCGCGGGGAGGUCAUUGGCACCCUGAAUCACCCACUGCGAGCCCUUCCAACCAGAUUGUAGACCUGCCCGCUCCGGGCCCACCUCCCCCACCAGGGCCUUUCCCGGAGCAACCCAGCCGGGCCUGGAAAAACUCCGAGCGGGAUUCCCAGCGCAGGGACGCCCACCGGAGCGCAGUCUCUCGGGCUGGAUAAGAAGGGGACCCGGCCACAGCUCCUUCGCCGACCUGCGGGAACACAGAGAAGGGGAGGGAUUGGUGGGGGCCGAGAGGAUCCCUGGAGCGCGAGAGCGCACCCGUCGCCAGGAGGUCCCCUGCGUCCACUGCCCAGGCGACGCAAGCUACAGCGGCGUCAACGCCUGGGUCGGCGCUAGGGGCCUGGGCCUACUCCCCUCCCGCCUCCAGAUGGAGGGCAGCCCUUCGCCUACCUUCUCCUCCCCGUGGGAUGCGGCCCGAGCAGCUCCCGCCCCAGCACGGAGACAAGGG